UACGUAGGGACCGAGCGUUGUCCGGAAUCAUUGGGCGUAAAGAGCGUGUAGGCGGCCACUUAAGUCCUGCGUGAAAUCUUGCGGCUCAACCGCAAGCGGUCGUGGGAAACUGGGUGGCUAGAGUGCGGGAGAGGAGAGUGGAAUUCCUGGUGUAGCGGUGGAAUGCGCAGAUAUCGGGAGGAACACCUGUGGCGAAAGCGGCGCACUGGACCAUAACUGACGCUGAGGCGCGAAAGCUAGGGGAGCAAACAGG
rnacentral:rRNA from 1 species